rnacentral:rRNA from 1 species
ACGAAGGCCUUCGGGUUGUAAACCCCUGUCAGAGGGAAAGAAGGGUGUCGGCGCGAUAACCGUCGGCACUUGACGGUACCUUCAGAGGAAGCCCCGGCCAACUCUGUGCCAGCAGCCGCGGUAAGACAGAGGGGGCAAGCGUUGCUCGGAAUCACUGGGCGUAAAGGGCGCGUAGGCGGGAUGGCAAGUCAGUCGUGAAAUCUCUCGGCUCAACCGAGAAACGUCGGCUGAUACUGCCGUUCUUGAGGGAUGCAGAGGAGACUGGAAUUCCCGGUGUAGCGGUGAAAUGUGUAGAGAUCGGGAGGAACACCGGUGGCGAAGGCGGGUCUCUGGGCAUUUCCUGACGCUGAGGCGCGAAAGCGUGGGGAGCAAACGGGAUUAGAUACCCCGGUAGUCCACGCUGUAAACGAUGACGACUAGGUGUGGGGUGGUUCAGUCCACUCCGUGCCGCAGCUAACGCAUUAAGUCGUCCGCCUGGGGAGUACGGCCGCAAUGUUG